rnacentral:rRNA from 1 species
GCUACACACAUGCAAGUCGAGGGGUAGAUGUCCUCGGAUAUCGAGACCGGCGCACGGGUGCGUAACGCGUAUGCAACCUGCCUUCCACAAAGGGAUAGCCCAGAGAAAUUUGGAUUAAUACCUUAUAGCAUUGCGGAAUGGCAUCAUUUCGUAAUUAAAGAUUUAUCGGUGGAAGAUGGGCAUGCGUCCCAUUAGCUUGUUGGUAAGGUAACGGCUUACCAAGGCAAUGAUGGGUAGGGGUCCUGAGAGGGAGAUCCCCCACACUGGUACUGAGACACGGACCAGACUCCUACGGGAGGCAGCAGUGAGGAAUAUUGGACAAUGGGCGCAAGCCUGAUCCAGCCAUGCCGCGUGCAGGAUGAAGCAUCUAUGGUGUGUAAACUGCUUUUAUACGGGAAGAAACCCCGCCUCGUGAGGCGGACUGACGGUACCGUAAGAAUAAGGACCGGCUAACUCCGUGCCAGCAGCCGCGGUAAUACGGAGGGUCCAAGCGUUAUCCGGAAUCAUUGGGUUUAAAGGGUCCGUAGGCGGCCUUGUAAGUCAGUGGUGAAAUCUCCCGGCUCAACCGGGAAAUGGCCAUUUGAUACUGCAGGGCUUGAAAUUAUUGGGGAAGUAACUAGAAUAUGUAGUGUAGCGGUGAAAUGCUUAUAUAUUACAUUGGAAAUACCGAAUUGCGAACGCAGGUUUACUAUCAAUAUAUUGAC